GAUGAACGCUGGCGGCGUGCCUAAUACAUGCAAGUCGAGCGAAUGGAUUAAGAGCUUGCUCUUAUGAAGUUAGCGGCGGACGGGUGAGUAACACGUGGGUAACCUGCCCAUAAGACUGGGAUAACUCCGGGAAACCGGGGCUAAUACCGGAUAACAUUUUGAACCGCAUGGUUCGAAAUUGAAAGGCGGCUUCGGCUGUCACUUAUGGAUGGACCCGCGUCGCAUUAGCUAGUUGGUGAGGUAACGGCUCACCAAGGCAACGAUGCGUAGCCGACCUGAGAGGGUGAUCGGCCACACUGGGACUGAGAGCGGGCCCAGACUCCUACGGGAGGCAGCAGUAGGGAAUCUUCCGCAAUGGACGAAAGUCUGACGGAGCAACGCCGCGUGGGUGAUGAAGGCUUUCGGGUCGUAAAACUCUGUUGUUAGGGAAGAACAAGUGCUAGUUGAAUAAGCUGGCACCUUGACGGUACCUAACCAGAAAGCCACGGCUAACUACGUGCCAGCCGCCGCGGUAA
rnacentral:rRNA from 1 species